UACGGAGGGGGCUAGCGUUGUUCGGAAUUACUGGGCGUAAAGCGCACGUAGGCGGCUUUGUAAGUUAGAGGUGAAAGCCCGGGGCUCAACUCCGGAAUUGCCUUUAAGACUGCAUCGCUCGAAUUGUGGAGAGGUAAGUGGAAUUCCGAGUGUAGAGGUAGAAAUUCGUAGAUAUUCGGAAGAACACCAGUGGCGAAGGCGACUUACUGGACACAUAUUGACGCUGAGGUGCGAAAGCGUGGGGAGCAAACAGG
rnacentral:rRNA from 1 species